CAGAGUUGCAAAACUCCCACAAACCAUCGCGAAUCUCACCCGUACGGUUGCCUCGGCGCUGGCGGUCCGGAAGGCCCUCGGGCCCCCCGGAUCCUCGGGUCUCCCGCUCGCGGGAGGCUGCCCGCCGGAGUGCCGAAACCAAACUCUUGAUAUUUUAUGUCUCUCUGAGUAAACUUUUAAAUAAGUCA
rnacentral:misc_RNA from 1 species